rnacentral:lncRNA from 1 species
UGUCUUUUGACUUUGCAUCACAGGAAGUCUCAAUGGGACAUAACUGUAUCUUGGGCUUCUUGGAAUAGAUCAGAACUGAAAUUUCUAUUUAGCAGUGGGGAACCCGGCGGGGAUGUGGGGAAACACAGGGGGAGUAAGGGACAUUUUGACUCAAACUGGUUUGACCUGGUGUUGUUUAGCUGUUCCAACCAAGCAGAAACAUCCGUGACCCAGGCCUGGUCGCACAUGCCUGCAAGCUGGAUGCACAGUAAUUGCCACAAGUUCAAGAUCAGCCAAGGACUCCCAGGCCAAGCAGGUCUAUACACUGAGACCCCGCUUCAGCGAGUCAAGGAAAUCAAGCCAAAAGUGUGGCAGUACACACCUCCCAAUGCUCACUCCAGCACCUGAUCCAGGAGGAUCACAUGUUCCAGGCUUGAACUACAAAGCAAAACCCUGUCUCAGACAUUAAAAAGGAAAACGGAAGUGAGGCUGUAGCUGAGGUCUCAGGUUCAUCUCUGGCCUGGAGAAAUGGCACAGACCUGUCACUCCGACACUCGGGACCCAAGCUCAUCCCAGGCUAGGCUGCAAGUUCAAGGCCAGUCUGGGCUUCACGAGAUGCCUCCUUUGCGCAGAGACCCAUUUAUUUCUCCUUGUGGGUCCUGACAAAGAGCUAAGACAGGGUAUGCCUGCAGUGAGCUGUUGCCACCUGAGGGGCUGAGACAAGCUGGGCCACGCAGAUGGAGAAGCCUCCAGGCAGUCUUGUGAUCACUGGGGAAACAUGAAGAGCACAGCUUCCAGAUGGUUCAGUGGUUAAGAGCACUGACUGCUCUUCCUAGAGGUCCUGAGUUCAAUUCCCAGCAACCACAUGGUGGCUCACAUUGGGAUCUGAUGCCCCCUUCUGGUGUAUCUGAAGACACAGACCGACAGUGUAUUCAUAUAAAAGAAAUAAAUGUCUU